CGCACCUUGCGCUCCUUGGUAUUCCGAGGAGCAUGCCUGUUUGAGUGUCAUGGUAUUCUCAACCUUCAUGCAUUUUUUCUUGUGCAGACGUCGGUUGGACUUGGAGGUUUGCAGGCGUGUCUUGUGCCCCUUGUGGGACGACGCCGGCUCCUCUGAAAAGCAUUAGCUUGAACUUUCACCGAGCGUGAUCCAGUGUGAUAAUUUGUCUGCGCUGUUUCUGUCGAGGUGCCGUUUGCACAAACGGUGUUCUGGCUUCAAACUGUCUGGACUUGUCGGACAAACACUUCUGAACAUCUGACCUCAAAUCAGGUAGGACUACCCGCUGAACUUAA
rnacentral:misc_RNA from 1 species